ACUUAAAUUGAAGAGUUUGAUCAUGGCUCAGAUUGAACGCUGGCGGCAGGCCUAACACAUGCAAGUCGAGCGGUAGCACAGAGAGCUUGCUCUCGGGUGACGAGCGGCGGACGGGUGAGUAAUGUCUGGGAAACUGCCUGAUGGAGGGGGAUAACUACUGGAAACGGUAGCUAAUACCGCAUAAUGUCGCAAGACCAAAGUGGGGGACCUUCGGGCCUCAUGCCAUCAGAUGUGCCCAGAUGGGAUUAGCUAGUAGGUGGGGUAAUGGCUCACCUAGGCGACGAUCCCUAGCUGGUCUGAGAGGAUGACCAGCCACACUGGAACUGAGACACGGUCCAGACUCCUACGGGAGGCAGCAGUGGGGAAUAUUGCACAAUGGGCGCAAGCCUGAUGCAGCCAUGCCGCGUGUGUGAAGAAGGCCUUCGGGUUGUAAAGCACUUUCAGCGGGGAGGAAGGCGCUAAGGUUAAUAACCUUGGCGAUUGACGUUACCCGCAGAAGAAGCACCGGCUAACUCCGUGCCAGCAGCCGCGGUAAUACGGAGGGUGCAAGCGUUAAUCGGAAUUACUGGGCGUAAAGCGCACGCAGGCGGUCUGUCAAGUCGGAUGUGAAAUCCCCGGGCUCAACCUGGGAACUGCAUUCGAAACUGGCAGGCUAGAGUCUUGUAGAGGGGGGUAGAAUUCCAGGUGUAGCGG
rnacentral:rRNA from 1 species